CUUCUGCCUCAGCCACCCAAAUACUGAGAUUACAGGUGCUGUGCUGCUGAGCCUUGCUGCCGCCCCUCUUUGAUGGAAUUGUUAGAUCACAGAAAUGCUUUGGAUAUGAAAUGCCUUCAUUCUAUCAAAACAUUUGACUUCCUGCUAUAGCAUUAUGCAAGAAAUGAAAAAGUAGCCUAGGAAACAAUCAGAUUACAACAAAUAGAAAGAUUUACUACAAACAAAACCAAAAGCUAUGGAUAAGUAAACAGUGCCCAUGUGGAAAUAAGUCUCUAGACAGAGCUCUAGAAGCAUGCCUCAAGGCUUUGACGAAGUAUUGUUCAACAUUUUUGUCAAUGACUUGAACAAAGACCACAAAAGCAUGUGAUCAGAUUUUUAGAUAAAACAAAGUUGGAGGGUAAUUCCAAAAAUGA